rnacentral:tRNA from 1 species
GCCCGAAUGGUGGAAUGGUAGACACGAAGGACUUAAAAUCCUUUGGCCAUUGAGGCUGUACCGGUUCGAGUCCGGUUUCGGGCACC